CUGAGCAGAGAGACAUGACUUUUACAAUGAAGUGUCCUGGCUUUAUGUUAGUUUUUUUUAUAGUGUCAGUUUACUGGGCUGGUACUGAGAGUCAAACACUGACUGAGUCUGAAUCAGUGAUUAAAAGGCCUGGAGACUCCCACAGACUGACCUGUACAUACUCAGGGUUCAGCAGUGAUAUUCAUGCUGCUUGGCUCAGACAGGCUGCUGGAAAA